AAUCAACGCUGGCGGCGCGCCUAACACAUGCAAGUCGAACGAGAAAGUCCCGCAAGGGAUGAGUAAAGUGGCGUACGGGUGAGUAACACGUGGAUGAUCUACCUUUUAGUGGGGAAUACCGCUGGGAAACCGGUGACAAUACCGCAUCAUCUCGAGAGAGGAAAGCGGCUUUAUGCAAAUAGAGUCGCGCUGAAAGAGGAGUCCGCGGCCGAUUAGCUAGUUGGUAGGGUAAUGGCCUACCAAGGCUUCGAUCGGUAGCCGGCCUGAGAGGGCACAC
rnacentral:rRNA from 1 species